rnacentral:rRNA from 1 species
AAAACUUUUCAGCUAGAGUAUGAUAGAGGAAAGCAGAAUUUCUAGUGUAGAGGUGAAAUUCGUAGAUAUUAGAAAGAAUACCAAUUGCGAAGGCAGCUUUCUGGAUCAUUACUGACACUGAGGAACGAAAGCAUGGGUAGCGAAGAGGAUUAGAUACCCUCGUAGUCCAUGCCGUAAACGAUGUGUGUUAGACGUUGGGAAAUUUAUUUUUCAGUGUCGCAGCGAAAGCGAUAAACACACCCGCCUGGGGAGUACGACCGCAAGGUUAAAACUCAAAUGAAUUGACGGGGACCCGCACAAGUAGUGGAGCAUGUGGUUUAAUUCGAAGAUACGCGCAGAACCUUACCAACACUUGACAUGUUCGUCGCGACUCUAAGAGAUUAGAGUUUUCGGUUCGGCCGGACGAAACACAGGUGCUGCAUGGCUGUCGUCAGCUCGUGUCGUGAGAUGUUGGGUUAAGUCCCGCAACGAGCGCAACCCUCACUUUUAGUUGCCAUCAUUAAGUUGGGCACUCUGAAAGAACUGCCAGUGAUAAGCUGGAGGAAGGUGGGGAUGACGUCAAGUCCUCAUGGCCCUUACGUGUUGGGCUACACACGUGCUACAAUGGUAUCUACAACAGGAAGCAAGACUGCGAGGUCAAGCAAAUCCCUAAAAGAUACCUCAGUUCGGAUUGCACUCUGCAACUCGAGUGCAUGAAGCUGGAAUUACUAGUAAUCGUGGAUCAGCGUGCCACGGUGAAUGCGUUCCCGGGUCUUGUACACACCGCCCGUCACACCAUGGGAGUUGGUUCUACCUUAAGGCAAGGUUUCAAACCCUUGACCACGGUAUAGUCAGCGACUGGGGUGAAGUCGUAACAAGGU